GGAUGUGAGGGCGAUCUGGCUGCGACAUCUGUCACCCCAUUGAUCGCCAGGGUUGAUUCGGCUGAUCUGGCUGGCUAGGCGGGUGUCCCCUUCCUCCCUCACCGCUCCAUGUGCGUCCCUCCCGAAGCUGCGUGCUCAGUGGAAGAGGACGACCAUCCCAGAUAGAAGGAGUGUACCGUUCUUCGGUCAAGGGUAUACGAUAGCUGCGCUCCCCUGCUAGAACCUCAAAACAAGUAGAUGUAUAUACUAUUGUACAUCAUCUAUAUAUUCAGAAAACAUAGAUAACUUUUAAAAUGAUAAAUGGAAUUCUCU